UGGAUUUCACUGCGGGCUUUUAAAAAGGCAGUGAAAUCGUUGGGUGGAUUCGUCAGAGUGAGGCGCAAAACGCUCUCGGGUGAAAUCGACCGGCACACAGGCGUGGUAACCGACAAUUUUCUCUUAUAAUGCAGCAAAGUGGAAGUGUUAUUGUGGAAUAUCACGCAUGAAUCAACGCGGGAUUUUAGCGAUGAAGUAUGAGAAAAUGCGUUGGCACACAUUUUAUGUGGCUUAAUGAAACGCCACAAUUGAUCCGUAAGGGGGUUUUAUGGACAGUAAUCUGAAAUUGUCGUUGAUUACCACUGUUUGCGCGUUGCUUAUGAUUAUCGCUUUCAGCUUCACUGCAGUGAUGAACUAAAAG
rnacentral:sRNA from 1 species